UACGGAAGGCAGCAGUGGGGAAUAUUGCACAAUGGGCGCAAGCCUGAUGCAGCCAUGCCGCGUGUAUGAAGAAGGCCUUCGGGUUGUAAAGUACUUUCAGUCGUGAGGAAGGUGUUAAGGUUAAUAACCUUAGCAAUUGACGUUAGCGACAGAAGAAGCACCGGCUAACUCCGUGCCAGCAGCCGCGGUAAUACGGAGGGUGCGAGCGUUAAUCGGAAUUACUGGGCGUAAAGGGCACGCAGGCGGUUAAUUAAGUUGGAUGUGAAAUCCCCGGGCUUAACCUGGGAAUGGCAUUCAAGACUGGUUAGCUAGAGUCUUGUAGAGGGGGUAGAAUUCCAUGUGUAGCGGUGAAAUGCGUAGAGAUGUGGAGGAAUACCGGUGGCGAAGGCGCCCUCGGACAAGACUGACGCUCAUGUGCGAAAGCGUGGGGAGGCAAACAGGGAUUAGAUACC
rnacentral:rRNA from 1 species